rnacentral:rRNA from 1 species
GCAACUCGCCUGCAUGAAGUCGGAAUUGCUAGUAAUCGCGGAUCAGCAUGCCGCGGUGAAUACGUUCCCGGGCCUUGUACACACCGCCCGUCACACCAUGGGAGCCGGUAAUACCCGAAGUCAGUAGUCCAACCUCGUGAGGACGCUGCCGAAGGUAGGAUUGGCGACUGGGGUGAAGUCGUAACAAGGUAGC